UACAGAGGUCCCGAGCGUUGUUCGGAUUUAUUGGGUUUAAAGGGUGCGUAGGCGGCUUUGUAAGUCAGUGGUGAAAUAUGGCAGCUUAACUGUCAAGGUGCCAUUGAUACUGCGGAGCUUGAGUACAGAUGAGGUAGGCGGAAUUGACGGUGUAGCGGUGAAAUGCUUAGAUAUCGUCAAGAACACCUAUAGCGAAGGCAGCUUACUAGGCUGUAACUGACGCUGAGGCACGAAAGCGUGGGGAUCAAACAGG
rnacentral:rRNA from 1 species